UUAUUGCCAAGAAAAUAUUAAAGUUUUAAACAAUAUGAAUUUAUCAGCAUUUACAAUAAUGUUAAUGUAUAUAAUGCAGAUACUGUAAUUUGACCUGUAGGGCAGGUGUUUAAAGAGUUCCAGGCUGUAAUUUUUCUUACCAUUGUUGGAACAUGUUUUAAAUAUUUUGAAUUAUUUUAUUAGACUUUUUUUUGAUCAAUUUGCAUGUUUUUGAUGCUAAGUUGUUAAAUAAGCAAUUCAAGAUCAGAUAUCUUUAUAUUUUUAACUCUGCAUACAUGUUAAAAAUUUAUUUGCUUGAUUGAAAAAUGUAAAAAAAACCUCUUAACUAAAGACUGUUAAGAAUUAUUGCUUCGGGUCUUUUAUAUCUCGAAUUUUCUACGCCUAAAAGGAAACAUUGGCAACAAAACAAUUCUUAUGUUUUUCUUGAUUGUUAAGUACACCCCUUUAUAACCAGGGGCGUAUACAGGAAUAUUCUCUAAAGGAGGGGAGGCUUAACCUUUCUAGACAUUCCAACCCCUUGUUACAGGUUCAAUUCCUCAAAAAUCAUAGCUUUUACUUUUCCAGGGGAGGGAAACAACCCUUAUAGCCCCCCCCCCCCCUGUAUACGCUUCUAUAUAACCAUCUGUUUUUGUAUAAAUGUAAAAAGCUCAAUUAUCUGAAAUAUAAUUAUAAUUCUUUAA